GGUUCGACGGUAACUUCAACACCAACGUGUCCAAGACCAUCUGCUGUGACCGGCUGUCCCCCACCGUCAACAGUCGAGCCUUUAACCCUGGACGGGACCUCAACUCAGUGUUGGCAGAUAACCUGAAGUCCACCCGGGCAUCAAAUGGCAGUACUUCAGCUCAGAGGAGGGCAUCUUCACUGUGUUCCCCGCCCACAAGUUCCACUGCAAGGGCAACUACGAGCACCGCUGCAGGCCAGUGUACGUGUCGGCGGUGCGGCCCCAAUCGAAACACAUCGUGGUGAUCAUCGAUCACGGCGUGACCAUUACAGACACACAGCUGCAGAUCGCCAGAGACGCUGCGCUCGUCGUCCUCAGCUCCGUAGACGAACAUGACAAGGUCUCGAUCCUGUCCUCAGCGGAGGCGGUGCGGUCCUGUUCACUGGACCCGUGCUAUAAGAGCUACCUGUCUCCUGCCACCAGCGAGACCAAGAGGAAGAUGAGCACCUUCGUCAACAACCUCAAGGCUUCCGACAGUCCUACCCUGCACGCACUGGGCUUCCAAAAGGCCUUCCAGCUGCUCCGGAACACCAGCAAUAUC